rnacentral:rRNA from 1 species
AUUGAACGCUGGCGGCAUGCCUAACACAUGCAAGUCGAACGGGGCAGCAAUGCCUAGUGGCUGACGGGUGAGGAAUACGUAGGAAUCUGCCCUUAAGUGGGGGAUAACCAGGGGAAACCCUGACUAAUACCGACUGAAAUCUUCGGAGCAACGCGGGGGACCGCAAGGCCUCCCGCCUCGCGAUGAGCCUACUUCUGAUUAGCUAGUUGGGAGGGUAAAGGCCUACCAAGGCGCCGAUCAUUAACUGGACUGAGAGAAUGAUCAGUCACACCGGAACGGGAACAGGGUCCGGACUCCUACGGGAGGAAGCAGUGGGGAAUAUUGGACAAUGGGCGCAAGCCUGGUCCAGCAAUGCCGCGUGUGUGAAGAAGGCCUUCGGGUUGUAAAGCACUUUAGUCUGGAAAGAAAGAACUUUGGUUAACACCCAAAGUCUUGACGGUACCAGGAGAAUAAGCACCGGCUAACUCUGUGCCAGCAGCCGCCGUAAAAC